UCCUGAUUUGUCAGGUAGGGUGCUUAGGA
rnacentral:piRNA from 1 species